UCCUCCUAUUGGUCAAACUGCGUCCUCACAAUUUGCAGUUGAACCAACGGGAGGA
ensembl:miRNA